GAGGCCAGCAGUAGAUGGAGAUGUUGAGAAGGGGGAGGCCAGCAGUAGAUGGAGAUGUUGAGAAUGGGGGAGACCAGCAGUAGAUGGAGAUGUUGAGAAGGGGGAGACCAGCAGUAGAUGGACAUGUUGAGAAGGGGGAGGCCAGCAGUAGAUGGAGAUGUUGAGAAGGGGGAGGCCAGCAGUAGAUGGAGAUGUUGAGAAGGGGGAGACCAGCAGUAGAUGGACAUGUUGAGAAGGGGGAGGCCAGCAGUAGAUGGACAUGUUGAGAAGGGGGAGGCCAGCAGUAGAUGGAGAUGUUGAGAAGGGGGAGGCCAGCAGUAGAUGGAGAUGUUGAGAAGGGGGAGACCAGCAGUAGAUGGACAUGUUGAGAAGGGGGAGGCCAGCAGUAGAUGGACAUGUUGAGAAGGGGGAGGCCAGCAGUAGAUGGACAUGUUGAGAAGGGGGAGGCCAGCGGGCGCUGAGGUAAUGGCUCACUGGUCUAUUGUUCCCUCUCUUCUUCCUCACCCUCCACCGUCUCCUUCUCCCAUCCAGUCCCCCCCCCCACUACACCCACAACCCCCCUUUCUGGACUUCAAAGGGAAGGAAGGAAGUUGAAAACAAGGUGAAUUAAUUUCCCCCUCGUACCAAGCCUACAUGUUGCAGCGGAUGUGCUUUUUAAUUGCUUGUGCUAAAUGCGGAACCUAUUUUUGCCUCCUUUACAAAAGCCUAAAUGAUGAUCCGGGUGGAAUCCAUGCCGAUGCCAGCAGACCUCAUGAAACAUUAACGCUGCUCACACAAGCAACGACCUUGAAAACAAGUCGCGAGAAAGCCAAAGAAAGGGACGCUGUAAAGUGCGACUCGGCCAACACGUGGCUUCAUCAAUUGUGCUCAAACUGACAUUCCUCGGCAUCUUUAACCCUCCACCCAGAAGCCUCGGCGCAGACCGAACCCUGUGAAGUGGAUCAAUGGGAGGAUUAUCGCAGGACCAAGAUGCCCGUUAGAGCGCCGCUCUGCGCUGCCUCAGUGACGGGAGAAGAUGAGAGGCUUUUCCUUUCAUCUUGUGCUGGCGCAUCGGAGGGGGCCGAUGAUAAUGAUGUGGAGGCCCGACCCGCUCUCGCCCGUCCUCUACCGCCAAAAUAAAAGGCCUGUGGAGGGUCGGACGGGACAAACGGAUUUAGUCAGGCGGAUUUUGGAUUCAUGUGAAUUUAUCCCAGAAUUGUUUUUUUUGCUUCCUCGGGAGGAAUGUUAUCGAUGCAACAGUGGUGUGUGUGUGUGUGCGUGUGUGUGCGUGUGUGCGUGUGUGCGUGUGUGUGCGUGUGUGCAUGUGUGUGUGCGUGUGCUCCAGUUGUUUCCUCCGUCUCAUCAGAUCCAGCUGAACACCUCUGUCCUCUCUCAAGGACACCCCUCCCUUCGUCCCUCACAUUGUGUCUCUGUCUCUCCCUCUGUUGCUUUUUCUUUCUCACACACACACACACACACACACACACACACACACACACACACACACACACACACACACACACACACACACACACACACAGUCACUCACACUUCACCUAUACACACUUCACACACACCCACACUCACACGUUCUCUCUCUCCCUGUGUGUGACAGGCGGCGGUGCUGGAGAUGGCUGCUGACAUUCUGGACAGUAAAAGGCUUAAGGUGGAUUGUGUGUGUGUGUGUGUGUGUGCGUGUGCGCGUGUGUGUCUCUGAGGCAGAUGGAGAAACCUCUCAUUUCUUCCUCCAGUGUCUCUACAUGUUAUCUGAGCGCUGCUGUCGCACACAGAGUCUCCAGCGGCUCGUCUGUUGGACGGUUUCCUAAAGCCUGAUGGUUAUCAUAAUAAGGUGGAAGGUCAGAAAUCUCUUAAUUAGUGCUAAAUAGGAAUUAGAUUAGGCUUUUGUCCACUUCAGAAGCAGCUCUAGUUAAACAGAUUAGCGGAUUAGGCCGGGAUGAGGACAGAGAGGGAAAGGUUGACACGUCGGUGACGAGGAGCACAUUAUCUGAUUGGCUGUCAGUCAGCUUUGGGGAAAGGUGACGGCGCGGCCAACACGCCACCACGUGUCAAUCGUGUCUCGGGACAGUGUGAACACCCACAGAACUCUCAUUGCCUUUGUGUGCGCUACCAUGUCAGGCGACGUCAUCGCCUCUUUCCACUUUAAAACGUAUGUGUUUUGCUCCACGUCCACACGGAAACGCUCCCGAGGACGGAUCCGUUUGAAGGGCUCACGGGUUGCGGACGGUUGAAGACGGAUCCGCAUGGCCACCCGAUUGGUUGUGAGCAGUCGUAACGCGUCCUUCCCUUAAUCGUCACACUCCGAUCAUGUGACCGCUUCCAGGAAGAAAACCAACAGCCGCGGCUGCGUUGUUGUCUCUAAACUCUGCAUUUGACUUAUUAUAAUUACUCAUUAUAAUGACUUAUUAUUUAUGGCAAUGAAGAUCUCAUGUAGAUACAGAUCUCAUGGGGACGAAAAUCUCAUGUGGAUAAAGAUAUCAUGGGGGUGAAGAUCUCGUGUGGAUGAUCAUCUCAAGUGGAUGAAAACCUCAUAGGGAUGAAGAUCUCAUGUAGAUACAGAUCUCAUGGGGACGAAAAUCUCAUGUGGAUAAAGAUCUCAUGGGGGUGAAGAUCUCGUGUGGAUGAUCAUCUCAAGUGGAUGAAAACCUCAUAGGAAUGAAGAUCUCAUGUAGAUACAGAUCUCAUGGGGACGAAAAUCUCAUGUGGAUAAAGAUCUCAUGGGGGUGAAGAUCUCGUGUGGAUGAUCAUCUCAAGUGGAUGAAAAUCUCAUAGGGAUGUAGAUCUCAUGGGGAUGAAGAUCUAAUGUAGAUACAGAUCUCAUGGGGACGAAGAUCUCAUGUGGAUAAAGAUCUCAUGGGGUGAAACAUCUUGUGUGGAUGAUCAUCUCAAGUGGAUGAAGAUAUCAUAGGGAUGAUCAUCUUAAGUGGAUGAUCAUCUCAAGUGGAUGAAGAUCUCAUGGGGAUGAAGAUCUCAUGGGGACAAAGAGCUCAUGGGGACAAGAUCUCAUGGGGAUGAAGAUCUCAUGUAGAUACAGAUCUCAUGGGGACGAAGAUCUCGUGUGGAUGAUCAUCUCAAGUGGAUAAAGAUCUCAUGUGGAUGAAGAUCUCAUGGGGAUGAAGAUCUCAUGGGAAUGAAGAUCUCAUGUAAAUAAAGAUCUCAUUGGGACGAAGAUCUCAUGUAGAUAAAGAUCUCAUGUAGAUACAGAUCUCAUGACAACGAAGAUCUCAUGUGGAAAUAGAUCUCAUGGGGAUAAAGAUCUCGUUUGGAUGAAGAUCUCAUGGGGAUGAAGAUCUCAUGUAGAUACAGAUCUCAUGGGGAUGAAGAUCUUGUGUGGAUGAAGAUCUCAUGUGGAUAAAGAUCUCAUGGGGAUGAAGAUCUCGUGUGGAUGAAGAUCUCAUGUGGAUGAAGAUCUCGUGUGGAUGAAGAUCUCGUGUGGAUGAAGAUCUCAUGGGGAUGAAGAUCUUGUGUGGGUGAAGAUCUCAUGGGGAUGAAGAUCUUGUGGGGAUGAAGAUCUCAUGUAGAUAAAGAUCUCAUGUGGAUGAAGAUCUCGUGUGGGUGAAGAUCUCAUGUGGAUGAAGAUCUCAUUUGGAUGAAGAUCUCAUGGGGAUGAAGAUCUCGUGUGGGUGCUGUCUCAGACUAACUCUUAUCUGACACCUCGCUCACCACAAGUCUUUCCCUCCUGUCUCCUCUAACGUUCUGUUAUUUCUUCACCCUCCCUUCGCUGUUCAAAGACAGCUUUUCUGUCCUAUUCACUACAUUUGAUGGGCUCGUGCCAAGAGGACGGUGUCUCCUCUCUCCUUCUACCCUUCCCUCCUCCGUCUCCCUUUCACUUCCUCUUCCUCACCAUCUUGUCUCCCUCUCAUCGUCAUCCUCCUCCACGCCUUCCUUUCCUCGCCACCCCUCAGUCUAUUCUGUGGCCCAGCGUGGGUGGCUGAGUUUAAUGAAUUCUCUUUUCUUUCUGCAGCCAGGCGUUGAUUUCUGAUUGUGAAGAGGUGUGCGUGUGUUGUGAGUGUGCGAUGUAUGAAUGAGUGAGUGAGUGAAGUGCUUGCGCACACGCACACAAACACGCACACACUCUCAUAUUUUACUUACUCGCUUUCCGUGCCUUGACUAUGAUCAUUAUAACAGUCUAAAUCUCGGCCUUUAUCCCGAUCAAGGCUUUGCACUUUCCUCUCUCAUAAGAAGCAGAAAGUUGCCGACUGUCAGCGUUAAAGUAGAUUCGCCUCUGGAUGUGUUUGCUGCUGCUGUGAACACUACCUGCCGUCUCCUGCAGCCAGAAACAUGAGUCAAGAAUCUGUUUUGUCCUCUGAUGUCUUACUAAUGCACAGGAAACGGGGGGGGACCCAGUAAAAUGACCGCAGGAAGGAAGUAGACGCUGAAGACCCUGAUCAGAUUCUGUUAUGCGGUGCAUCAGAAUAAUACAUGUAUAGUCUGUUUGGUUUGACCAGCUCACAAGGUCAUGUAACUUUUUGUGCUGAUGAAGCGUCGGAGGAGGGUUUGUGUGCGUCGGAGGAGGGUUUGUGUGAGUCGGAGGAGGGUUUGUGUGAGUCGGAGGAGGGUUUGUGUGCGUCGGAGGAGGGUUUGUGUGAGUCGGAGGAGGGUUUGUGUACGUCGGAGGCUGCGCACCAUGCUAACAAAUUGGAGCUACCUCACUGUACUGUGCUGUACUGUUAGCAGAGCAUAUAUGAUGACGCUAGUUUGUGCGGGUCGAUCUGCAGGAAUUUGUUGUCAAAACAGAUUGUAUUAUAUUGUAGGUGGGAAUCACAAAUUAGGCCUAGUUUAUGCUCGUGCGUUUUCACAGAGACGCAAGGACACGCAAAAGCCCCUUGCGUGCUUUUUUACCCCUUCUUGCUGCUUCGACCAAUUUUUCUAGACUAGUGUCAAAAACUAUGCAAGCCUCACACAGCUGUGAUUGGUCUGCUGAGCACAUCCUUUCCUUUCUCACAUUUCUCAGAUUGAAGAGCUUUUGUCAGAAGAAGUACGUAAAAAUGAGCACUUCUACAAGCCGGUCAUUGGCGGACUAUGAGGACGGCCCUCGAUUCAGUAAACAAACAAACCGACUUCCACACACAAAGACGACAUUCUCUAAGUCGUCGUCGACAAAAAAGAACACGCGUUAUUCCACCUGUUGUUCUUUUAGAACCAUGAAUCAAAACGAGUUUCUGUGCGAAAGGACGCAGGCGCAGUUGUAGAAGUGAGUUUACGUUUCUGGUUCAGAACACUUCAGUUCUGUCGUCGAUGAACAUCUGUACUGUGUAUCACACACGUUAGCUAACAGGGAGCUAACAAGCCCAGGGAAGUGGAAAGACAAUAUUAGUCUAUUUCAUUUAAACACAUUUAAAAUCCUCAUCUACUUUUGAAAUGAGUACCUACACCAUAUAUAACCACUGGGCACAUGGAGUCCACGCCGGGUUCAAGUGGUUGAACCGACCGACAGAACGGCUCCACCACUUUGGACCAGAAUAAAAUCUCAACUUCUAUCUUUACAUUUGAAUCCAGAUGUUCUCUCUUCAGGAGGACUUGGCGAUACGCUGACUCUUUAUUGACCAAUAUCUGCUAACAUGGCUUGCCAGCAUUGUCAUUAUUUAGCCCAAAGGACUCACAGAGCCGCUGGCAUUGUUUAGAUGGUUUGCUGGUUCAACAUCCUGCACCGGACCAACAAAUAAAUAAAGCCGAACUGUGGCUGCAUUUCACCUGUUCUGCAUUUCUUUGCUUGGCAGGUGUGUAAAGCCUCAUCAACUCCCCCAAAUAAGCAGGAAAUGUAGACUUUGUAAACUGGGUCACGUUCCCCUUUUUUAUGCCAAACACCAGACUUCAAAAGGAUGAAACAAUCCUCCCUCGGAUUUGGGAAGUGGAUCAUCUCCACAUCUGUCGGAGGUCACCGCUGGGAGCAGGUGUUGCUGCCUCCGUCCUCCCUGCUGAUUGGAUGGACGGAUUAGCUGCUUAACGAGUUGGAUUUGUUUAAUCUGAUAAUUGUCUGGCGAUGAAAACAUAUUCAGUAAUUCUCUGUGGCCUCUGUUUUAUUCCUCCUGAUUAAAGACACUUUCAUUCUCCUACGCGCACACACACACACACACACACACACACACACACACACACACACACACACACACACACACACACACACACACAUUAUGGAACAGUUGUUGUUAUGACCAGAAGACAAGGCUCUGAGGUGGGCUGGCAAUCACACACAACACACACACAUAUACACAGAAACACACACACUCCCCAGUGUGUAGCCCCCCUGUGGUAUGGUAAUGAGCUGCUAAUCUCUCUGGUUUACACAGCCAGAAUGUGUGUGUGUGUGUGUGUGUGCGCAUUAAGGUGCAAUGUGGAAAAGCCUGAGGAAUUCUCUUAGGCCGUCAACCUUCUGCUCUCACUCGGGCGCAGGCUGUCAACACAUUAAAGAGCUGAAUUUGUGUGUGUGUUUGUGUGUGUAUGUGUGUGUGUGUGUGUCUGUGUGAGACAGAGGGAGCGAUACACAUGUGAAAACUUGAUAAAAACAAACUAGAAAGGCGACAAAGAGAGAAAUGGAAGACAUUAGGGGAAAUACUGUGGAUCAGCACAUGCACACUUUCUCCAUCUGAUCGGUUCAUUCCUGACUGUCCUCUAACUCCUCUCUUCUGUGUGCGUUUACUGUUCAUGUGUGUGCGUUAUGAUGCUGCGUUGCUGCUCGGCUUGUGUGUGUGUGUGUUUAUUUAUUAUGCCGGAGUCACAUCACUAAUUAGUCCCUUGGAGAAGCCUGAGGCCAUUUGCAAAAUCCCACUGAUUAAAAACAAGUCCAAAUCCAACCUUGUGUCGCGCACACACACACACACACACACACACACACACACACACACAUGGGAGUGUGUGCUGAGCAAAGCUACUUACUGUCAAGGCUUGAACACGUGUGGGCGUGUGUUUGCAAGCGGAGCCGUGCAUGCGUGUUGGAGGGCUGUCAGUCGUUAAGGCCAGUUUAAUAUUUCAAAUUGCCGUCCAAAGUUACCACACGCCGGGACGCCCCCCCCACACACACACACACGCCGGGACGCCCCCCCCACACGCCCCCCUCAGACGCAUGUGCACUCAAAGCCUGCAGGAGCUUCAGCGUGUCACAAAUCACACUCAAGAUGUCAAGGGCAUCGUGCAACAGCAAGUGUGACAGACAGGCUGACAGACAGACACACAAGACAGAGCAGGAGGCCGAGGCUACACAAUGUCCUGUAU
ensembl:lncRNA